rnacentral:rRNA from 1 species
CUUUUGACCUCGGAUCAGGUAGGGAUACCCGCUGAACUUAAGCAUAUCAAUAAGCGGAGGAAAAGAAACCAACAGGGAUUGCCCUAGUAACGGCGAGUGAAGCGGCAACAGCUCAAAUUUGAAAUCUGGCUCUUUUAGAGUCCGAGUUGUAAUUUGCAGAGGGCGCUUUGGCUUUGGCAGCGGUCCAAGUUCCUUGGAACAGGACGUCACAGAGGGUGAGAAUCCCGUACGUGGUCGCUGGCUAUUGCCGUGUAAAGCCCCUUCGACGAGUCGAGUUGUUUGGGAAUGCAGCUCUAAAUGGGAGGUACAUUUCUUCUAAAGCUAAAUAUUGGCCAGAGACCGAUAGCGCACAAGUAGAGUGAUCGAAAGAUGAAAAGCACUUUGGAAAGAGAGUCAAACAGCACGUGAAAUUGUUGAAAGGGAAGCGCUUGCAGCCAGACUUGCUUACAGUUGCUCAUCCGGGUUUCUACCCGGUGCACUCUUCUGUAGGCAGGCCAGCAUCAGUUUGGGCGGUAGGAUAAAGGUCUCUGUCACGUACCUCCUUUCGGGGAGGCCUUAUAGGGGAGACGACAUACUACCAGCCUGGACUGAGGUCCGCGCAUCUGCUAGGAUGCUGGCGUAAUGGCUGUAAGCGGCCCGUCUUGAAACACGGACCAAGGAGUCUAACAUAUAUGCAAGUGUUUGGGUGGCAAACCCAUGCGCGUAAUGAAAGUGAACGUAGGUGCGAUCCGCAAGGUGCAGCAUCGACCGAUCUUGAUAUUUUUGGAUAGAUUUGAGUAAGAGCAUAUAUGCUGGGACCCGAAAGAUGGUGAACUAUGCCUGAAUAGGGUGAAGCCAGAGGAAACUCUGGUGGAGGCUCGUGGCGAUUCUGACGUGCAAAUCGAUCGUCA